rnacentral:rRNA from 1 species
UACAGAGGGUGCAAGCGUUAAUCGGAAUUACUGGGCGUAAAGCGUACGCAGGUGGCUGAGUCAGUCGAUUGUGAAAGCCCUGGGCUUAACCUGGGAAUUGCAGUCGAUACUACUCGGCUCGAGUAUGGGAGAGGGCAGUGGAAUUCCCGGUGUAGCGGUGAAAUGCGUAGAUAUCGGGAGGAACAUCAGUGGCGAAGGCGGCUGCCUGGCCCAAUACUGACACUCAGGUGCGACAGCGUGGGGAGCAAACAGG